rnacentral:rRNA from 1 species
AAGGGAGAGGACUACGUGGGAAUUUACCCUCAGACCAGGGAUAGCGGCGGGAAACUGCCGGUAAUACCUGAUAAUGUCUACGGACCAAAGGUGUGAUUCCGUCUGGGGAUGAGCCCACGUCCUAUUAGCUAGUUGGUAGGGUAAUGGCCUACCAAGGCAAUGAUGGGUAGCGGGUGUGAGAGCACGACCCGCCUCACUGGGACUGAGAACUGCCCAGACACCUACGGGUGGCUGCAGUCGAGAAUCUUCGGCAAUGAGCGCAAGCUUGACCGAGCGACGCCGCGUGCGGGAUGAAGGCCUUCGGGUUGUAAACCGCUGUCGUAGGGGAGCAAGAGAUGAGGGUACUCCCUCAAAUUUGAGCGAUCCUAGGAGGAAGGAGAGGCUAAGCUCGUGCCAGCAGCCGCGGUAAGACGAGCUCUCCAAACGUUAUUCGGUAUUACUGGGCUUAAAGAGUUCGUAGGCGGCUCCGUAGGUGAGGUGUGAAAUCCCUCGGCUCAACCGAGGAAUUGCGCUUCAAACCGUGGAGCUAGAGGUAGACAGGGGUAAGCGGAACAGAUGGUGGAGCGGUGAAAUGCGUUGA